rnacentral:rRNA from 1 species
ACAAUGGAUGUAGAGGAAAGUGGCGGACGGGUGAGUAACGCGUGAGGAACCUGCCUUGAAGAGGGGGACAACAGUUGGAAACGACUGCUAAUACCGCAUGACACAUAGGUGUCGCAUGGCACUUAUGUCAAAGAUUUAUCGCUGAAAGAUGGCCUCGCGUCUGAUUAGCUGGUUGGCGGGGUAACGGCCCACCAAGGCGACGAUCAGUAGCCGGACUGAGAGGUUGAACGGCCACAUUGGGACUGAGAUACGGCCCAGACUCC